GAAAAAAAGACCUUGAGGAAAAAACAGAAAUGUCAUGACAGAGAGCGCAGCGGCAUUCACAUCGCGUAUCAACUCCUUCCUCCCUUGGCUGACACUGGUUUUGUGGGAGAUUACGUGUGGCCCCAGCAGCAUGAAGCAGAGCAGAUACACAGCCUGUGUUGGCCAACAAGGGUUGAUGAAAUUAGGUCCACUGAUUAGGGCCACCUGACAAAGUCUAGAACAAGGGAACUGCUGUGUCUAGGGAACCACUGUAGGGAACCACUUUUCCUUGGCCUGGUUCCCUACUUAAUUCUUAGCAUGGCACUCCUGUAAGGUUUCUCAGACCAUCAGGUGCAUGAGGAGGCAGGGCAGCCAGUUGGGAGCAGGGAGAAGGUGAUGUCCUGCACCAGACAUUGUUUUUAGCAGUGGCAUUCGCCUGGUAUGGGGAGUUCAUGGUGCCAUCAGUACGAGGCCUCUGGCCAGCUGUGGGCUGAAUGCCCAGGUGCCUCCUGCCUCACAGCCACCCGGUAGGAACCUGAAAUGCUUCCAACAUCUAGGAGGGAGCUAUGCUGCUGGUACUGAGAUUUGGGAACAGAAGGAGGAGAACAAUCUGUGCAAAAGGCCAUGACCAGCCCAUGAUGGAGAAGACGAGUCUGUCACCGGGUUACCAAGAAAAAAGUCUUCCUGUAUUCAGCACAGUGACAAACCUAAUGCUAGAAAAGCAUAUCUGAAAGGAAGUUUUGAGAUAAAGUAACCCUCUAAUGGCAUUAACUCACAUUCAUCUCACUGGAGACUACCUCGGGCUGAGCUGGCAUACUGACACAGCUUCGUGUGUCAUCAGAGCAGCUGCUUUCAGACUGUAUGUUCAUGCUGAAAAUGUGUUAGCUCUGUAUGAGACUGGCAAGUUAUUAAUCAUCAUCAUUUAUUUAUGUAUUUACUUAAGAUUACACUUCGGUUUCCCUCUGCUUUCCACUCAAGCCUGCUGUUCUGUGUGGAUUUCCUAUUUAGAUUGGGGAGAUGUGGUGAGUAUACUUGGAAAAUCAGAGUGUGACAGUUUGUACCCUGACCUUGAUGCAAUAAUAUAUUAAUUUAUUCAACUGUAAGGAUUUAUUACAUAUGCUCAUUACUUGAAUAUCCCCUUUGUGAAGAAUGCUUGAAAAUAAUUUUAA